rnacentral:sRNA from 1 species
AAGUCGUAACAAGGUUUCCGUAGGUGAACCUGCGGAAGGAUCAUUACUGAAAGGGGACUCCGGUCCCCGGGACAAGCCCCCGUCGAGCCCUUGGGCUCCCCGGGCGGUGACACCCCUUACCCUUUGUUUACCUUACCUCUGUUGCUUUGGCAAGGCCCCUGCCCGGGUGGUUCCAGGCUUGGGCUCUGCCAGAGGGCCCCAACUCGUGGAUAGUUUUUGUUUGUCUGAGUACGAUAUAAUCGUUUACAACUUUUAACAAUGGAUCUCUUGGCUCUGGCAUCGAUGAAGAACGCAGCGAAACGCGAUAUGUAAUGUGAAUUGCAGACUUUAGUGAAUCAUCGAAUCUUUGAACGCACAUUGCGCCCUGUGGUAUUCCGCAGGGCAUACCUGUUCGAGCGUCAUUACAACCUCUCCAGCUCCGCUGGGUCUUGGGGCUUGCCUUCCCGGGCAUCCCUUAAAACUAGAUGCGGCGCCGCGUGGCUCUAAGCGUAGUACUUUUCUCGCUUCUGGGUCCGCUGUGGUGCCUGCUACCAAACCCCAACUUUCUAUGGUUGACCUCGAAUCAGGUAGGGAUACCCGCUGAACUUAAGCAUAUCAAUAAGCGGAGGAAAAGAAACCAACAGGGAUUGCCCUAGUAACGGCGAGUGAAGCGGCAACAGCUCAAAUUUGAAAUCUGGCUCCUUCGGGGUCCGAGUUGUAAUUUGCAGAAGAUGCUUCUGGUGUGGCCCCGGUCUAAGUCCCUUGGCACAGGACGUCAUAGAGGGUGAGAACCCCGUAUGUGACCGGUGGCCUAUGCCUCUGUGAAGCUCUUUCAAC